rnacentral:lncRNA from 1 species
GGGGCAUCACGUCAAAUCUGAUCAUUGAGCCUCAGGGAGGGGACAUGCACAGGCUGGCCAGGUGAGAAGGCACAAGCUUUGUCCGGAGCUGUGAUGUAGGGUUCAGUCAGGAGUUGGACAGUCGGGAGAGCAAAUGAAAUGGUGGUGGCCUACAAGACGAAGCACAAGCCAGAGAGGUUGGUCUGCUGUCUGCUCAACCACAGCUCCAUCAGGGUUUGGCAUGGAGCACUGCCCAAGGUUCUGAAGUACUGCUGUCUCCUCGUGCACAAUCAAGGUCUUUCUGAAUGCAUAUGAUCACCUCAAGAUUACAGAUGACAGGGUGGAGGAUGUUUCACCAGAGAUGUUUAAGGAACACAAUGGGUUCUAUAAGUCCCUGUUCUCCCUGCAGCAGACCCCUUGUUCCCUACAGCACCUGGCUUGCUGGACGCUACAGAACAACCUGGAUGGACACGUGCACAAGGUGGUGCCACACCUAGACCUGCCCACCUUCAUCAAGAACAACCUGCUGCUGAAGUUCAAAGACAACGUUCACUGAGUCAGAGAUAGAGCCAGGAUGUAUAUAAGCCCUAAACACUGGAUGUAUGGUAUACAUGGUAUGAUAUGAUGAGAGCUCCCAGCACUAUAGAGCUCUGUAUGUACUGUAGGCUACAGCACAAACACUUGGAAACACUAGGAAUUCAGUCUGUCUGUGACAAUAUUUGUUUUGCAGAGUGACACAGAAGGAGGGUCAUCGUCACAGAUAUACUGAUUGUGGUACUAAGUUGACUACCACUCCUGGGUCCAGAAUCCUUGAGAUUGCAGAGUGUGAGUAAAUGGAUACCAUUAUGUACUGUACAAUAUAUGGCAAAACAAUCUAUGUAAAAAUGUAUGUAUUUACAAUUGAUUGUAUUCAUUGUUUUGCUAUUUUGGUUCACAAGUAAAAAUGUUAUUUGCUUUACAAGCAGAACCGUGUUACUCCGCGUCACCACAAGGGGGUGUUGUGGUCUUUAAAUGACAAAUUAAUGAGAUGUACUGUAUUAGAGGGCUGGCUUCGUGUUUUUUUCUAGGAUAUUUGUCAACGAAUGGUGUAACUUUUGUAUUUAUAGUGCUAUCAUUGAACUGAAGUGUACGUGCGUAAUGUAGUGUAAAAUAAUGGAGUAAAGGAAAUAGAUGUACAUAUUGAGCUUUUUCCCCAAAGUAGUCGUGACUUCAGGCUUAGCACCUUGUCAUAUAUGGUAAGAUAGUGAGAUCAGUCAGUAUAUGAAAAGAAAUGUGCGCACUGCUUUAUCACAAAAAGGAACCAAUUAUGGAUGUAGCUAUAG